rnacentral:rRNA from 1 species
AUACGGAGGGUGCAAGCGUUAAUCGGAAUUACUGGGCGUAAAGCGCACGCAGGCGGUUUGUUAAGUCAGAUGUGAAAUCCCCGGGCUCAACCUGGGAACUGCAUCUGAUACUGGCAAGCUUGAGUCUCGUCGAGGGGGGUAGAAUUCCAGGUGUAGCGGUGAAAUGCGUAGAGAUCUGGAGGAAUACCGGUGGCGAAGGCGGCCCCCUGGACGAAGACUGACGCUCAGGUGCGAAAGCGUGGGGAGCAAACAGGAUUAGAUACCCUGGUAGUCCACGCCGUAAACGAUGUCGACUUGGAGGUUAUGCCCUUGAGGCGUGGCUUCCGGAGCUAACGCGUUAAGUCGACCGCCUGGGGAGUACGGCCGCAAGGUUAAAACUCAAAUGAAUUGACGGGG